rnacentral:piRNA from 1 species
UCGGACCGGCUGCUGAGACGAAAG